rnacentral:rRNA from 1 species
CAGCUCUUGACAUGCCCGGUAUGGGGAAGAGAGAUCUUCUUCUUCAGUUCGGCUGGCCGGGACACAGGUGCUGCAUGGCUGUCGUCAGCUCGUGUCGUGAGAUGUUGGGUUAAGUCCCGCAACGAGCGCAACCCCCAUCUGCAGUUGCCAGCGGCCCGGCCGGGCACUCUGCAGAAACUGCCGGUGACAAGCCGGAGGAAGGCGGGGAUGACGUCAAGUCCUCAUGGCCCUUAUGGGCUGGGCUACACACGUGCUACAAUGGCGGUGACAGAGGGCGGCAAGGGGGCGACCCUGCGCCAAUCUCAAAAAGCCGUCUCAGUUCGGAUUGCUCUCUGCAACUCGAGAGCAUGAAGUCGGAAUCGCUAGUAAUCGCGGAUCAGCAUGCCGCGGUGAAUA